UUCUCUGAAAUUGGGUGUUCCCUGCAAAGUUGGGAACUUCAGCGCUCUCUUGAGUUCUGUUUCUUCAUGCUUUCCUCACUGUUCGACUCUCGGCAGCUCCUGCCUGUGCUUCUAUGUGCUCUGGGCUUGGGAACUGUGUACCUAAGGAAAGCUUAACCACCACGGACUUCCUUCCUGCCUGCCCACCUCCCUGCCGUGAGCUUGUGAUACUUCUGUUGGCAUCUCAUCCAAAGCAGAGCCAAUAUUCUGAAUAAUGACCUGGAGCUCAUGCCAGCUGGUGAGGUCACUGCACCAUCCCCAGAAUUUGACAGCCGGGGACUGGAGUUCAGUUUUUAUUGAGCAUCUUCUAUGUGCCAGGCACUAAGCAGGUUCUGAAGAUACAGAGGGGUGAGAAGGACAUCUUUAUCUGCAAAGAACUGACAGCCUGGAAAGGCCACCA